CAGCAGCCGCGGUAAUACGUAGGGUGCAAGCGUUAAUCGGAAUUACUGGGCGUAAAGCGUGCGCAGGCGGUUUUGUAAGACAGAGGUGAAAUCCCCGGGCUCAACCUGGGAACUGCCUUUGUGACUGCAAGGCUAGAGUACGGCAGAUGGGGAUGGAAUUCCGCGUGUAGCAGUGAAAUGCGUAGAUAUGCGGAGGAACACCGAUGGCGAAGGCAAUCCCCUGGGCCUGUACUGACGCUCAUGCACGAAAGCGUGGGGAGCAAACAGGAUUAGAUACCCGAGUAGUCCCUGUCUCUUAUAC
rnacentral:rRNA from 1 species